rnacentral:rRNA from 1 species
CAUUGAUGUCGGAAUUGCCAGAAGAUGGCUCACCCGCUCGAUGACAGAACCGUAACACAGGUGCUGCAUGGCUGUCGUCAGUUCGUGUCGUGAGAUGUUGGGUUAAGUCCCGCAACGAGCGCAACCCUUGCUCAUUAGUUGCUACAUUCAGUUGGGCACUCUAGUGAGACUGCCGGUGACAAACCGGAGGAAGGUGGGGAUGACGUCAAGUCCUCAUGGCCCUUAUAGGUGGGGCUACACACGUCAUACAAUGGCUGGUACAAAGGGUUGCCAACCCGCGAGGGGGAGCUAAUCCCAUAAAACCAGUCGUAGUCCGGAUCGCAGUCUGCAACUCGACUGCGUGAAGUCGGAAUCGCUAGUAAUCGUGGAUCAGAAUGUCACGGUGAAUACGUUCCCGGGCCUUGUACACACCG